rnacentral:rRNA from 1 species
CAGCAGCCGCGGUAAAACGGAGGGGGCUAGCGUUGUUCGGAAUUACUGGGCGUAAAGCGCACGUAGGCGGCUUUGUAAGUUAGAGGUGAAAGCCUGGAGCUCAACUCCAGAAUUGCCUUUAAGACUGCAUCGCUUGAAUCGCGGAGAGGUGAGUGGAAUUCCGAGUGUAGACGUGAAAUUCGUAGAUAUUCGGAAGAACACCAGUGGCGAAGGCGGCUCACUGGACGCGUAUUGACGCUGAGGUGCGAAAGCGUGGGGAGCAAACAGGAUUAGAUACCCCUGUAGUCCCUGUCUCUUAUAC